CAAGAUAGGCAGUGGUAUUAGUAGCCAAUGAAUUUAAUCUGAGGUGUGAUUAUUGCUAGUUGAAAACUUUUCCCAAUACCUGCUGCCUAAUAUUGUAGUGUUUUUGUAGGCAUCACAGAUU
rnacentral:snRNA from 1 species